rfam:Schistosoma mansoni, Puerto Rico, WGS project CABG01000000 data, contig: 0350
UCACUGCUGAGGAGUUCCAUAAUAGGACGGGACGGCCGUCCAGUGG